rnacentral:miRNA from 1 species
UUAUGCAUAUUGGCAAUACAGUACAAAUAUAGUGUGUUUGAUUUGCACUGUAGUUGCAUUGUAUUGCCACUCUUAUAA